ACUUGGAGUUACAUUGUGUUGUUUAAGUGUUUUUUGUAAUUUUUUUGAGCAGUGUAUAUAAUUACUGCCUCUAGGGGAACUGUGACGUCAAAGAAGUAAGGUUGUGAGAUAUUUAACAUUUCUUCUUCAUUAUGGAGAAUGACUAACGUUAGUUCUGAAAACAAACGUUUCUCCGUGCCAUAAUUUUACCCGAUUAAUUCAAGGAGUGUAAAUGUGCAAAAAUAAAAUAUGACUCAAAAUAUUGAGGUGACAUGGUUAAUUACAUAGUCAAUGAGUUUGUUGAUAUUUGAAGGAAGUUUUAACUGAGUGAAAAACUGGUUGGUAUUUUCCCAAUUGUAAGUAAGGUAAUGGAGUUUGGCUAGGUUGCUAAUGGUUUACAUGAAUGAAAAGGGAUUAACAUGGUGUCUGUACUUUUAAAAAAAAUUUGGGAUCCAAUUUGUUUUAUUUUCUAUGAGCCUCAGCAGUUAACAGACAAAAACAAUGCAAUUGUGUAUAACAUUAUUGCAUAUACUGUAGAAUAUAUAUUUUUUGACUGACUUAGUGUUUUUCUUUUGCUGUUUGUAUAACAUACUUUGAGAUCACUGAUAUUCCACCUGAUGUGAUGUAAGUUGUUGAACCAGAUCAGAACGCCUUCGAAGACCACCUUCAGGCACGGACUGAGAAGGAUGUGGAGGUUUUUGACCAGGUGAGACUGAGCAUGGACAGAGCGCAGAAGAAUCAAGUGGACAAAGUGCUUCAACAUCUGGGUGAAUGACUUGGCUUGGAAGAAGGACGAAAGGAAGGCGAGACCCGGGAAAGCUCGGUGCUCUUUUGCUCCAAGCUGGGGUCAACAUUUGUUAAGGGACCAUCCCUUACCAACCCCACUGACAUCAAAAAUUAGACAGGACCUAGCGGUUCUGCCCAACACCCAGAUGUGGGACCACCUGAUGUCCUCCAUUACCAACCACCCUCCAACUUUUCAUUACAUCAUCUACAGCUACUGUUGUCAUGUUAUCAUUAUCUGCUAAGAAAGAGCAAGAAAACUAUCAUACUGGGCACAUAAUGUGAGCUGCACCGAUUAGCUAAAAACACUAGCACUGCAAACACUGGACAGCGCCUGGACUUUGCAGUUUGCCUCUUUGAGUCCACUACCUGUUGAAAAAAAAAAGUGACAGGCAGAGCCUCCCAUCCACACAAUACCCACAUCCUCUCUAUUCCACACACCAAAAUUCUGUAUUUCAGUCUAUGAUUGGCACAAAAAAAAUCAGAAAGUAAAUUGACAUACGUACCUGAAACCCCACCUCUUUAAGGAAUACCUAGGAUAGGAUAAAGUAAUCCUUCUCACCCCCCCUCCCCCCCUUAAAAUAUUU